CCUAGGUCCUUCAUCUUCAUCUUCAGUAUCAUCAAACAUCUACUCGAUCUCCUUCUUAUAAGUAUCAUCAAACAUCUCGUUCACCGCCUCCGCCCUAUCUGUAACAAAUCUCUCUCUAUCUCUCUCUCUCUUCCGUUUAACCACAACAAAUGGUUUUUCGAACACAAGUCAGGGAAAACCUAGGUCGAUUCAAAGUCAUCUUAUAAAAUCAACAUUCCCUUAAUUUCAAUUUGAUGCAGGUAAUACAUGACCAACUACAAGUCUCUCUCUCUUUAUCUAUCUAUCUCUCUCUCUCUACCCCUUACUGUUCGACAACAACCUAGGCACCCACCACCCCUCGUCUUCUCUCUGGUUCACCACCACCACCAAUAAAGCCCCAUUAUACCACAAGAUUAAAGAACAAAACAUUGGGUCUUAAGCUAAAAACUUGUACUUGGAGUACUUGGAGUCCUGCUCAGUAUGAAGAUCUCCUUAAAGGAGGUGAACAGGUUACCUCUGUUCUUGAAGAGAUGGCUAACCUUUUGGAAGAUGACCAAAUGGAUGAAGAAUUUGAGGAGUUAGGGUGCUGUUGGCUGCACAAGGCGUGAUUGGAAAACGAGUUGAUCAGAUGGAAUCAGGCUUCAUGAUGACAUUAGAUUAUAUGAUCAAUCUUGCAGAAAAGGACCAAGACGAUAAGCGCAAGUCUCUGUUGGAGGUAAUCAAGGAAACAAUAUUAUCCCAUCUUACCAAAAAAGGCCCCCCGCAUGUUUAAGUUGUUGGGUUGCUAAGCAGAACCCCUCGGAAGAAAGCAGACAUGAUCACAUAUGCAUUGUAUCUUUAUUUAUAUCUUUUUUUUCCCAUAACCAAAUUAUACUUUUUCUUGUAUAUCCAGGGAGAAAAUCUAGUUAUGGCAGUUGAUGAUGAUGGCUGCUUUAUAGAAAAAGUUACCGAUUUCAUUGGUCGAUAUGUCAAAGAGGCAGAUAAAGAUAUCAUUAAAGCA